CCCCGUACACAAAAAUGCACAUAUUGUGAGCUCGAUGAGUAGGGCGGGACACGUGGUAUCCUGUCUGAAUAUGGGGGGACCAUCCUCCAAGGCUAAAUACUCCUGACUGACCGAUAGUGAACCAGUACCGUGAGGGAAAGGCGAAAAGAACCCCGGCGAGGGGAGUGAAAAAGAACCUGAAACCGUGUACGUACAAGCAGUGGGAGCACGCUUAGGCGUGUGACUGCGUACCUUUUGUAUAAUGGGUCAGCGACUUAUAUUCUGUAGCAAGGUUAACCGAAUAGGGGAGCCGAAGGGAAACCGAGUCUUAACUGGGCGUUAAGUUGCAGGGUAUAGACCCGAAACCCGGUGAUCUAGCCAUGGGCAGGUUGAAGGUUGGGUAACACUAACUGGAGGACCGAACCGACUAAUGUUGAAAAAUUAGCGGAUGACUUGUGGCUGGGGGUGAAAGGCCAAUCAAACCGGGAGAUAGCUGGUUCUCCCCGAAAGCUAUUUAGGUAGCGCCUCGUGAAUUCAUCUCCGGGGGUAGAGCACUGUUUCGGCAAGGGGGUCAUCCCGACUUACCAACCCGAUGCAAACUGCGAAUACCGGAGAAUGUUAUCACGGGAGACACACGGCGGGUGCUAACGUCCGUCGUGAAGAGGGAAACAACCCAGACCGCCAGCUAAGGUCCCAAAGUCAUGGUUAAGUGGGAAACGAUGUGGGAAGGCCCAGACAGCCAGGAUGUUGGCUUAGAAGCAGCCAUCAUUUAAAGAAAGCGUAAUAGCUCACUGGUCGAGUCGGCCUGCGCGGAAGAUGUAACGGGGCUAAACCAUG
rnacentral:rRNA from 1 species